rnacentral:rRNA from 1 species
GGGGACGUAAGGACCCCAGGGGAAACCUGGAUUAAGUACCGGAUGAGACGGGACCUGCGAUGGCGGGAUCCGGGAAAGGCGCUACGGCGCCGCCGGGGGAUGAGUCUGCGUCCCAUUAGCUAGACGGCGGGGUAACGGCCCACCGUGGCGACGAUGGGUAGCCGGCCUGAGAGGGUGGACGGCCACAUUGGAACUGAGACACGGUCCAGACUCCUACGGGAGGCAGCAGCUAAGAAUCUUCCGCAAUGGGCGAAAGCCUGACGGAGCCGACGCCGCGUGAACGAAGAAGGCCGUGAGGUUGUAAAGUUCUUUUCGGGAGGGGAACAACCGUGGCAGGGAAUGGCCGCGGGAUGACGUGAAUCCCGGAAUAAGCCCCGGCUAACUACGUGCCAGCCGCCGC